CUGAGGGGCGUGGCGGCGACCCCGACAGGAAGUCCAUUAUGAAACCAAGUGACCUCCGGGCUCGGCUCCCCCUGGACCACACAAGGGUGCUGAAAGAAAGAUGUUCAACAGAUUUAUAAGGCAUCAUAAACCAUAGUGUGAUUUCUCACCGUCGGCAGCAAUAUGGUUACGUCGCCAUGGUUACAGCCUUCCUUCUCACAUUAAUCACGUCUUCAUUGCGACUCCUUUAUCCUCGUGCUUGUGUGAGGCACUGAUGUUCUCAUCUGACUCUUUGGAGGGAGAAGAAGAAGCAGCGAAGCUGUCUUACCGUGGACCUCCAGGGUGACUGUGAUGUUCAUAGAGCCGGCUACAUUCACCGCAGUGCACACGUACA